UUAAAUUGAAGAGUUUGAUCAUGGCUCAGAUUGAACGCUGGCGGCAGGCCUAACACAUGCAAGUCGAACGGUAACAGGAAGCAGCUUGCUGCUUUGCUGACGAGUGGCGGACGGGUGAGUAAUGUCUGGGAAACUGCCUGAUGGAGGGGGAUAACUACUGGAAACGGUGGCUAAUACCGCAUAACGUCGCAAGACCAAAGAGGGGGACCUUCGGGCCUCUUGCCAUCAGAUGUGCCCAGAUGGGAUUAGCUAGUUGGUGAGGUAACGGCUCACCAAGGCGACGAUCCCUAGCUGGUCUGAGAGGAUGACCAGCCACACUGGAACUGAGACACGGUCCAGACUCCUACGGGAGGCAGCAGUGGGGAAUAUUGCACAAUGGGCGCAAGCCUGAUGCAGCCAUGCCGCGUGUAUGAAGAAGGCCUUCGGGUUGUAAAGUACUUUCAGCGGGGAGGAAGGUGUUGUGGUUAAUAACCGCAGCAAUUGACGUUACCCGCAGAAGAAGCACCGGCUAACUCCGUGCCAGCAGCCGCGGUAAUACGGAGGGUGCAAGCGUUAAUCGGAAUUACUGGGCGUAAAGCGCACGCAGGCGGUCUGUCAAGUCGGAUGUGAAAUCCCCGGGCUCAACCUGGGAACUGCAUUCGAAACUGGCAGGCUUGAGUCUUGUAGAGGGGGGUAGAAUUCCAGGUGUAGCGGUGAAAUGCGUAGAGAUCUGGAGGAAUACCGGUGGCGAAGGCGGCCCCCUGGACAAAGACUGACGCUCAGGUGCGAAAGCGUGGGGAGCAAACAGGAUUAGAUACCCUGGUAGUCCACGCCGUAAACGAUGUCUACUUGGAGGUUGUGCCCUUGAGGCGUGGCUUCCGGAGCUAACGCGUUAAGUAGACCGCCUGGGGAGUACGGCCGCAAGGUUAAAACUCAAAUGAAUUGACGGGGGCCCGCACAAGCGGUGGAGCAUGUGGUUUAAUUCGAUGCAACGCGAAGAACCUUACCUGGUCUUGACAUCCACAGAAGAAUCCAGAGAUGGAUUUGUGCCUUCGGGAACUGUGAGACAGGUGCUGCAUGGCUGUCGUCAGCUCGUGUUGUGAAAUGUUGGGUUAAGUCCCGCAACGAGCGCAACCCUUAUCCUUUGUUGCCAGCGGUUAGGCCGGGAACUCAAAGGAGACUGCCAGUGAUAAACUGGAGGAAGGUGGGGAUGACGUCAAGUCAUCAUGGCCCUUACGACCAGGGCUACACACGUGCUACAAUGGCGCAUACAAAGAGAAGCGACCUCGCGAGAGCAAGCGGACCUCAUAAAGUGCGUCGUAGUCCGGAUUGGAGUCUGCAACUCGACUCCAUGAAGUCGGAAUCGCUAGUAAUCGUGGAUCAGAAUGCCACGGUGAAUACGUUCCCGGGCCUUGUACACACCGCCCGUCACACCAUGGGAGUGGGUUGCAAAAGAAGUAGGUAGCUUAACCUUCGGGAGGGCGCUUACCACUUUGUGAUUCAUGACUGGGGUGAAGUCGUAACAAGGUAACCGUAGGGGAACCUGCGGUUGGAUCACCUCCUUACCUGAAAGAAGC
rnacentral:rRNA from 1 species